rnacentral:rRNA from 1 species
UACCUGCAGCUCAAGUGGUGGCCGUUAUUAUUGGGCCUAAAACGUCCGUAGCCGGUCUAUUAAAUGCCCGGGUAAAUCGGACCGCUCAACGGUUCGAAUUCCGGGUAGACUGAUAUACUUGAGACCGGGAGAAGCUAGAGGUACUCCUGGGGUAGAGGUGAAAUUCUGUAAUCCUAGGGGGACCACCAGUGGCGAAGGCGUCUAGCUAGAACGGGUCUGACGGUGAGGGACGAAGCCCAGGGGCGCAAACCGGAUUAGAUACCCCCGUA